rnacentral:rRNA from 1 species
UGAGGAACAUGACCUUCGGCGGGGGAGUAGCCGGCCCAACGGCCGGGUAAUACCGCGUACGACCACAUGGGGACAUCCCUGAGUGGUGAAAGCAGCAAUGCGCCGAUGGAGUGCCUCGCGGCCUAUCAGCUAGUUGGUGAGGUAACGCUCACCAAGGCGACGACGGGUANCUGGUCUGAGAGGAUGGCCAGCCACAUUGGGACUGAGACACGGUCCAGACCUCGUACGGGGAG